UACGAAGGGGGCGAGCGUUAAUCGGAAUUACUGGGCGUAAAGCGUGCGCAGGCGGCACGGUAAGACAGGUGUGAAAUCCCCGGGCUUAACCUGGGAAUUGCGCUUGUGACUGGCGUGCUCGAGUGUGGCAGAGGGGGGUGGAAUUCCGGGUGUAGCAGUGAAAUGCGUAGAUAUCUGGAAGAACACCGAUGGCGAAGGCAGCCCCCUGGGCCAUCACUGACGCUGAGGCACGAAAGCGUGGGGAGCAAACAGG
rnacentral:rRNA from 1 species